rnacentral:tRNA from 1 species
GGGGCGCUGGUGUAGUGGGAGCAUGUAGGCCUUCUAAGCCUGAGGUGCGGGUUCGAUCCCUGCGCGCCCCA